GACAGAGGGUGCAAACGUUGUUCGGAAUUACUGGGUGUAAAGCGAGUGUAGGCGGUUCGAAAAGUCGGGUGUGAAAGCCCCGGGCUCAACCCGGGAAGUGCACUCGAAACUCUCGAGCUAGAGUAUCGGAGAGGUUGGUGGAAUUCUCGGUGUAGAGGUGAAAUUCGUAGAUAUCGAGAGGAACACCGGUGGCGAAGGCGGCCAACUGGACGAAUACUGACGCUGAGACUCGAAAGCGUGGGGAGCAAACAGG
rnacentral:rRNA from 1 species